rnacentral:snRNA from 1 species
GUGCUCGCUUUGGCAGCACAUAUACUAAAAUUGGAAUGAUACAGAGAAGAUUAGCAUGGCCCCUGCUCAAGGAUGACAUGCAAAUUCGUGAAGCAUUCCAUAUUUUU